rnacentral:rRNA from 1 species
GCGACCCCAGGAUGGGCGAGGCCACCCGCCGAGUUUAAGCAUAUCAAUAAGCGGAGGAGAAGAAACUUACGAGGAUUCCCUUAGUAACGGCGAGCGAACCGGGAAAGGCCCAGCAUUGGAAUCGAGCUGUCGUUCAGCCGCUCGAAUUGUAGUCUGGAGAAGCGUCCUCAGCGACGGACCGGGCCCAAGUCCCCUGGAAAGGGGCGCCGGGGA